rnacentral:rRNA from 1 species
UACGGAGGGUGCGAGCGUUAAUCGGAAUGACUGGGCGUAAAGGGUGCGUAGGUGGUUUAUUAAGUUGUUGGUGAAAUCUCCGGGCUUAACCUGGGGUUGACGAAUAAAACUGAUGAACUCGAGUAUAGGAGAGGGUAGUGGAAUUUCCGGUGUAGCGGUGAAAUGCGUAGAGAUCGGAAGGAACACCAGUUGCGAAGGCGGCUACCUGGCCCUGGUACUGACACUGAGGCACGAAAAGCGUGGGGGGAGCAAACAGGG